GCUCUCGUAGUGUAGUCGACGCACAUAGCAAAUCUUGAUCGCUAAAGCCCUGGUUCAAUUCCAGGCGAGGGCC